GAUGAACGCUAGCUACAGGCUUAACACAUGCAAGUCGAGGGGUAACGAGAGGAAAGCUUGCUUUCCUUGUCGACGACCGGCGCACGGGUGAGUAACGCGUAUCCAACCUGCCCCCAACUAAGGAAUAACCUUGCGAAAGUAAGACUAAUACCUUAUAAUUUCCUCAGAUGACAUCUGACGAGGAAUAAAGAUUUAUCGGUUGUGGAUGGGGAUGCGUCUGAUUAGCUUGUUGGCGGGGUAACGGCCCACCAAGGCAACGAUCAGUAGGGGUUCUUAGAGGAAGGUCCCCCACAUUGGAACUGAGAAACGGUCCAAACUCCUAGGGGAGGCAGCAGUGAGGAAUAUUGGUCAAUGGGCGGAAGCCUGAACCAGCCAAGUAGCGUGCAGGAUGACGGCCCUAUGGGUUGUAAACUGCUUUUAUACAGGAAUAAAGUUAGCCACGUGUGGUUAUUUGUAGGUACUGUAUGAAUAAGGACCGGCUAAUUCCGUGCCAGCCGCCGCGGUAA
rnacentral:rRNA from 1 species